rnacentral:tRNA from 1 species
UGGAUUUGUGAUUGUGCAAAUCAAUCCUGGCUGAACUGAUUAUAAUAUUACUUAUUUUUGAUUUAAUUGUUUUGAG